AACGAACGCUGGCGGCAUGCCUAACACAUGCAAGUCGAACGAGACCUUCGGGUCUAGUGGCGCACGGGUGCGUAACGCGUGGGAACCUGCCCUUAGGUUCGGAAUAACUCCCCGAAAGGGGGUGCUAAUACCGGAUAAUGUCUUCGGACCAAAGAUUUAUUGCCUUUGGAUGGGCCCGCGUUGGAUUAGCUAGUUGGUAGGGUAAAAGCCUACCAAGGCGACGAUCCAUAGCUGGUCUGAGAGGAUGAUCAGCCACACUGGGACUGAGACACGGCCCAGACUCCUACGGGAGGCAGCAGUGGGGAAUAUUGGACAAUGGGCGAAAGCCUGAUCCAGCAAUGCCGCGUGAGUGAUGAAGGCCUUAGGGUUGUAAAGCUCUUUUACCCGGGAUGAUAAUGACAGUACCGGGAGAAUAAGCUCCGGCUAACUCCGUG
rnacentral:rRNA from 1 species